rnacentral:rRNA from 1 species
GACGAACCGUGCGAACGUUAUUCGGAAUCACUGGGCUUAAAGGGCGCGUAGGCGGGUCCGGCAGUCAGGGGUGAAAUCCCACGGCCCAACCGUGGAAGUGCCUCUGAUACUUCGGACCUCGAGGGAGGUAGGGGCGUGCGGAACUCAGGGUGGAGCGGUGAAAUGCGUAGAUAUCAGAAGGAACGCCGGUGGCGAAAGCGCUCGGCUGGACCUCUUCUGACGCUGAGGCGCGAAAGCUAGGGGAGCAAACGGG